UCAUUACUGAGGAGUCCAAUACUAGGACGAAACGGCCGUCUAGUGC
rfam:Schistosoma mattheei strain Denwood, Zambia genome assembly, scaffold: SMTD_scaffold0005002